UCAGGGGCCCCUAACCCCUGGGCCACAAACCUGUGAGGGUCCAUGGCCUGUUUGGAGCCGGGCUGCCAGGCAGGACGUGAGCAGUGGCUCCUGUGGUGUUUGGUGGGAUUCCGCGAUCCGGGUACAACAUUUUGGGGGCUCGUCCGGGAUCCCCCAGACCCUCCAGGACCCGUGCUUCAGAGGAUGAAUGGCCGAUUGCCGUGGCUGGGGCCUCCAAACCUUUGCUGAGUAAUAGUUGUGAGAGUGGGCAUCCUCCCACUGUUCCUGAUCUUAGAUGGAAUGUUCUGUUUUUCACCACUGAGA